CAGCCGCCGCGGGAAUACGUAGGGUGCAAGCGUUAAUCGGAAUUACUGGGCGUAAAGCGUGCGCAGGCGGUUAUAUAAGACAGAUGUGAAAUCCCCGGGCUCAACCUGGGAACUGCAUUUGUGACUGUAUAGCUAGAGUACGGCAGAGGGGGAUGGAAUUCCGCGUGUAGCAGUGAAAUGCGUAGAUAUGCGGAGGAACACCGAUGGCGAAGGCAAUCCCCUGGACCUGUACUGACGCUCAUGCACGAAAGCGUGGGGAGCAAACAGGAUUAGAUACCCCCGUAGUCCCUGUCUCUUAUAC
rnacentral:rRNA from 1 species